CCAGAAUUGUGACAGUUUCCCUUUAAUACAUGGCUUUAUGCGUUAUUACAUGCCAAUCCAUAUCAUUGUACGUGGCGCUAACUUAAUAAUUAGCCAGCAAGUUCCAGUUCGGUGGAAGCUAGUCCUGCUAACGUUAGUCCUUUGUAUGGAUAUAGCACACUAUCCGUAGUCUGCCCUUUAUAUAGAGAGCUCUAUAAUACUAUACACAUUCUAAGCACAGACAGAUUGUCAAGGUCUCUCCGCCCUCUGUGUUUGAUAGUAAUUCAAUGAUGGCAGCCUCGCGAUUGGCCCAUUUCCAGCUGUGAUACCAUAUUUGGACAGAAUUCUUUUGUCGAUGUCUUUCAGCCUUGGCCUGGUCUCAGUUAUGUGUGUGUAUAUAUAAAUAGUAUUAGUUUAUGCAUUCUUGUGAUUUGCUGUGCAAAAAUCAAUAUAUCCCAAUUUCUCUGGGUCAGAUAUUUAGUGCUAUCAGAGAGCUGGCACCCUUGUUACCCUUCAGAAGUAAGGAAUGUACGUGGAAUGCCGCUGUUAGAAUGUUUCCAUUUUCUGAGUCCAAAUAAUAGAAUCCUGUGUUUUAAUGCAGCUCGGCGUGACCAGACACAGAUAAAUACACUAUAACUGUGACCAUGUCGUUCUCAAUGUUUCA